rnacentral:rRNA from 1 species
AUUGAACGCUGGCGGCAGGCCUAACACAUGCAAGUCGAGCGAGCGGCGGACGGGUGAGUAAUGUAUGGGGACUGCCCGAUGGAGGGGGAUAACUACUGGAAACGGUAGCUAAUACCGCAUACUAUCGGAUAACCCAGAUGGGAUUAGCUAGUAGGUGGGGUAAUGGCUCACCUAGGCGACGAUCCCUAGCUGGUCUGAGAGGAUGAUCAGCAACACUGGGACUGAGACACGGCCCAGACUCCUACGGGGGCAGCAGUGGGGAAUAUUGCACAAUGGGCGCAAGCCUGAUGCAGCCAUGCCGCGUGUGUGAAGAAGGCCCUAGGGUUGUAAAGUACUUUUGGCAGAGAAGCGGUAUCUGCAGAAUAAGCACCGGCUAACUACGUGCCAGCAGCCGCGGUAAUAC